UACGUAGGGGCCGAGCGUUGUCCGGAGUUAUUGGGCGUAAAGCGCGCGCAGGCGGCCUCGCGCGCCCGACGUGAAAGCCCCCGGCUUAACCGGGGAGGGUCGUUGGGGACGGCGGGGCUUGAGGGCGGGAGAGGGCGGUGGAAUUCCCGGUGUAGUGGUGAAAUGCGUAGAUAUCAAGAGGAACACCUGAGGUGAAGACGGGUUGCUGGGCUGACACUGACGCUGAGGCGCGAAAGCUAGGGUAGCAAACGGG
rnacentral:rRNA from 1 species